rnacentral:rRNA from 1 species
CCUACGGGAGGCAGCAGUGGGGAAUCUUGCGCAAUGGGCGAAAGCCUGACGCAGCCAUGCCGCGUGAAUGAUGAAGGUCUUAGGAUUGUAAAAUUCUUUCACCGGGGACGAUAAUGACGGUACCCGGAGAAGAAGCCCCGGCUAACUUCGUGCCAGCAGCCGCGGUAAUACGAAGGGGGCUAGCGUUGCUCGGAAUUACUGGGCGUAAAGGGAGCGUAGGCGGAUAGUUUAGUCAGAGGUGAAAGCCCAGGGCUCAACCUUGGAAUUGCCUUUGAUACUGGCUAUCUUGAGUAUGGGAGAGGUAUGCGGAACUCCGAGUGUAGAGGUGAAAUUCGUAGAUAUUCGGAAGAACACCAGUGGCGAAGGCGGCAUACUGGCCCAUUACUGACGCUGAGGCUCGAAAGCGUGGGGAGCAAACAGGAUUAGAUACCCUGGUAGUCCACGCUGUAAACGAUGAGUGCUAGUUGUCGGCAUGCAUGCAUGUCGGUGACGCAGCUACGACAUAAGACGACGUCCGCCGUCGGGAGGUACGGUCGCGAAGUAAGUUAAACGUUAAAGUUAAAGUUAGUUACGGUUCGUGAGACGNGCGACGGACGACGACGAGGGAGGAGG